UGGGGGAACCCUGAUCCAGCCAUCCCGCGUGUAUGAUGAAGGCCUUCGGGUUGUAAAGUACUUUUGGCAGAGAAGAAAAGGUACCUCCUAAUACGAGGUACUGCUGACGGUAUCUGCAGAAUAAGCACCGGCUAACUACGUGCCAGCAGCCGCGGUAAUACGUAGGGUGCAAGCGUUAAUCGGAAUUACUGGGCGUAAAGCGUGUGUAGGCGGUUCGGAAAGAAAGAUGUGAAAUCCCAGGGCUCAACCUUGGAACUGCAUUUUUAACUGCCGAGCUAGAGUAUGUCAGAGGGGGGUAGAAUUCCACGUGUAGCAGUGAAAUGCGUAGAUAUGUGGAGGAAUACCGAUGGCGAAGGCAGCCCCCUGGGAUAAUACUGACGCUCAGACACGAAAGCGUGGGGAGCAAACAGGAUUAAAUACCCUGGUAGUCCACGCCCUAAACGAUGUCAACUAGCUGUUGGGGCCGUUAGGCCUUAGUAGCGCAGCUAACGCGUGAAGUUGACCGCCUGGGGAGUACGGUCGCAAGAUUAAAACUCAAAGGAAUUGACGGGGACCCGCACAAGCGGUGGAUGAUGUGGAUUAAUUCGAUGCAACGCGAAAAACCUUACCUACCCUUGACAUGUCUGGAAAGCCGAAGAGAUUUGGCCGUGCUCGCAAGAGAACCGGAACACAGGUGCUGCAUGACUGUCGUCAGCUCGUGUCGUGAGAUGUUGGGUUAAGUCCCGCAACGAGCGCAACCCUUGUCAUUAGUUGCUACGCAGAGCACUCCUAUGAGACUGCCGUUGACAAACCGGAGGAAGGUGGGGAUGAUCUCAAGUCCUCAUGCCCUUA
rnacentral:rRNA from 1 species